rnacentral:tRNA from 2 species
GCCGAGAUGGUGGAAUUGGUAGACACGCCUGGUUUAGGUUCAGGUGCCGCAAGGUGUGCAGGUUCGAGUCCUGUUCUCGGUA